CGGAAUUUUAGCUGGUUCUUUUGCUAUGCCCAUAGGUAUGAGAAAAUGGCCUAUCAUCCUUAGCUAUAGUUCAUAAAGUUCAUGGCUUCCUGUUCCUUUAAACCUUGUUUUUAAUGCUGCAAUUGCUUUUGCUUUUAGAGUUAAGUUAAUGCAGAAACUAUGUGACAACAUAGGCGUUGUCCACCCCGGCAGUCAGAGGGUGGAGGAUGCCUGCAAGGAAAGAUAACCAAGAAAAUAACAGAUAGAGAUGUUUUUCUGUAACUGUGAUAUCUUCUAGUCAACGAAGCACUCAUACUCUGUACAUGCCUAAAUGCUUAGCUUCUUAUUGGUUGUUGCAUUUUCAGAACUGUAUUAUGAUUGGUGAGAAAGUUCUGCCAUGGUAUCUAAGGGGAACUGACUCUAUAAAUAUGUUGACAUUUCCUGAAAUUAUUGGGCAGUUUCCUCAGACUGCCACCUUGCAGCGCUGCUCGUAAUAAACCUUCUAAGGAGAGAGAAAUUGUGUCUUGAGAGUCUUUGACCACCACUCAGCGAACCACACAGGAACCCGUGGUUUCGGGUUCCGCCACAAUUUGGCGACGAGGACGGAUGAGUGGUACACUGGAGAGCCUCUGCUCAUGGAGACCUGACACAGGAAAUCCUCCAACGUGCGCACAGAUCAGGUGAGUAGGAACCACAUUAAAAUCCUACAACAGGAGGGCUUUCCUUGGUCAACUCUCCCUGUGGCUGGAGUUUUCUAGCGGUAAGUGUCAUGUAAAGUCAGUGACGCCUGUUUUAAGGCAUUCUCUUUCAUUAGAAGAAGAAGAAAAAAAAAGCAGGGAAAAAUUGGGAUCCAGAGAUAGGUUGGGGAGUGAGACUUGCUUGAAUGUGUCAAUGGUGAAUGGCACUGGGAAAACCCGUCACUCAUAGUGCUAGCCCCACCAGGCCGUGACCGCUAUGACGUUGUACGGCAGGUCCAGCUGCGGAUGAAUGAUAAGCUGAUAAGCAAGUCACAUACUUUGGGAACGCGCGUUGAUAAGACCUCCUGGAAGUGAGGCAGCUUAAAAAGAUUUGUGGUCAGACCUAAAAAUAAAUUAAGAAGAAAAAAAAAAAGAAGGAAAAAAAUUGCUCUAAGACCUAGGCAAGCAGGAGUUCCUCUGAUAAGGGUCCUAAAAGCGCAUUGACGCUAAACUGGCGGAGCAUAGAUUGCUCCUAAAAGUCAUUGUGGUCCACAGUGGACCCGGUUUGGGUAAGCCCUCUAAGGAGGCACCAGGAAGGACCCGGUGUGGGUAAGCCCUCUAAGGAGGCACCAGGAAAGUCUGGGGUCGCGCCCCAGCCUGGGUAGAAGACCCAGUCCGGCCAAGAAAAUAAUAAUAAUAAAAAAAAAAUAGAAAAAGAGGAAACAGGAGGAAAAAGAGAAAAAGAAAAAAAAGGAACAAGAAAUAAUCAGCUGAAAGAGCUCAGAUAAAGAAACCUUAACAGUAGAGACACACGUUCCUAACAGGAACAUUUAUGUCUGUUUGUUUGUCUUCUUUCCUACCCCAAUUCCUAUUAUGAGCCUGAGAAAUAACAGGACUCCUAUAUAAGCCAUACCUGUGUUAUGUGUAAUGUGACAUGUCUGAAUGAGUUGCCCUGAAUGAGUGGACCACCUUUCCUACUACCUUCCACUUAUGAGCUGUGCCAAUCAAAACUCUAUCUAUCGUGCCUUCCCUUGCAAAGGGACAGUGCCGUUAGGGGGGUGAAAAAAGCACAGACACCCUGUUAUAAGCCCUGUUGUGAAAACCCCUGUUGUGCUUGUGCCCAAAAACCCAGAAGUUGCCACGUACGAAAGCUCUUCACGUGCUUGAGUGUGGUAACGAGAAACGGUGUGCAUAGAUAAGAACAGAAGAAAUAGCUGCUGUGGUUUUUUUUGUAAGUAACCUCAGACUGUGGAGCAAAAGAGAUAAUGGGAAGCUCCAGGUCAAAAACAGGCAGCCCAGAAUCAGAAAAAACCCCGUUAAAGAAAAUGUGUAAGAUCUACAAAGAUCGUAUGCCAUCUAGGUUGAAUUUAAAAAGAUUAGAAAUUCUACGGGCCGCCACCCAAUACUGGGAUGACAUCCAAGAAAGAAAACUAGGAAAAGAAAAAUUAGAAACCAAGUUGCUAACCUUGCAAAUAGAACAGCUCCAGACUCAAAUCCUACCUUAAGAAGUUUGGCUAAACAGUGCAUAGACGCAGUAUUGCAACUAAGAAGACCUAAAAAUAAAAACAGCUAUGAUACCAAAUUUCUCAUUAUUAGCAAGCUACAUGAUACAAAUUGAUACAAGCCACAAGAUUCAGUCCCUGAACCGCUAAAAUGGUCAGAGAUGAGAAGACUUAAUAACCUCAUUAACCAAAAUUCAUGCACUGGGCUUGUGAAUAGCAUAUUACUCUGCACAAUUAGACGCAGCUGCACAAGGAUUUCCACCUUGCUCCAAGCAGUGGCUGCUACCGCCUUGCUUGUAAAGAAAAAGCAGCUGAUUUGAAAUUAAAAAAAAAUUGUGGGUUAGAGUUCCACCGUCGCAGCCCUGUUGAUAACCAAAUCUACACAAUUUCUAUCGAAUCAGAGAUUGACUCGAUACGAGCAGAUACUACCAGCAAUUACCCUUAAACAGUGCACUACCUUAAAUGAUUGCAAAGUGGUAAUUCAAGAAUUUGACUGAUGUUACAUUGCCAGCUCCAGAUAUAGUUCUGUUUACUGAUAGCUCUUGUAAAGAAAACAGCUGGGGAGAGCUAGUAGCCAGAUAUGCAGUAAUUUCUCAAGUACUGAUAAAAUAAAAAUAAAAAGGAAGUGUAUACCACAUUAGAAAGUUUCGCUCUGCCACGAAGUGCACAAGCCGCAGAAUUAAUUGCUUUAACCAGAACCUAGCAAAAAGUUUGUCAAUAAAUAUUCAUACAAUAUUGUUUUGUAAUCUGUCAUGCAGUUGAGCAAAUCUAAGAAUAUAGAGGCUUUAUGACAGCCGCAGGAGGGCCUAUAGCAAAUAGCCCUUUAGCUGCAAAGUUGUUUGAAACAAUCUUGCAAAUCCAACACUAAAGAGAACACUCUUUUCCCAAGAUACUAUUCCAACGUAGGAAAAAGAAUCGUGCAACUUAAAGAAAAGAAUCUUAAGAGGAAAAUAAUAAUAAUAAAAAAUUGAGAAAAAUAAUGUAUGGGUAUUUUAUAAUGACAAACUAAUUGCAUCUUGAGAUUUAGUUAAGACACUGACAUACUUAAACAAUGGUGUGCCCCAAGAAUACACCUAAAAGCUAAAUGAGUGUGCCAAAAGUGUGUAACUUGCCUGAAGUUUUUAUAGUCCUAAACUAUCUGCACACACCCGUGAGUUUAUAGUCCAUUUCAAUAUUGCAGAUUGACUUUAUUGAAUUUACUAACGCAAUAAGAUUUAAAUACUGUUUUACUGUUGUGUGCAUUUUCAGUAGAUGGGUAGAAAGUUUUCCUGUAUAAUAUGCAACAGAAAAAUCCACAAUUAAAUGCUUACUAAGAGAAGUGGUGCCCAGAUUUAGCGUACCUUUAAAGGUGAAUUCAGACUAUACUAAGAAUUAAGUGAAAUUCCUUUGGUGUUAAUGAACUUGAGAAACAGCCCCAACAGAAAACAUAGACUCACACAACAUAAGAUUGUAUUUGGGAAGCUUAUGGCUGUUGGACUGUCUCUGCCAAAACCAUUUUUCCCCUCACUGAGAGCAGUGAGGAAAUAAUCUGUAAUGUUCUACACUUACACAGACUAUUAGUUCAACUCCAAAGAAAAAUGAGAAACAAGCAACUGAUUCCAGCUGAUGUUCCAUGUCAUCAUUUCUAACCAAGAGAUGCAGUGUUCAUAAAAGUCCAUAAAAAGCCCAAUUCGUUGGCUCCUACUUGGGACGGACCUUAUACUGUGUUGCUGACCACACACACCUGGAUACAUGCAGCCCAUGUGAAAAAGCUAAAUCCAGGAUGCCAGACAGAUGAUCCAGAUGAUCCAGUUGCACUAGAAAGUUACUCAGACCUGAUUGAGAUGUUAAAGGAUGAAAGAAGCUGUCAGGAGGAAGCCAAGAGAGCCCCCUGCACAUGCUAAGCGACCAAGUGUCCAGUGGAGAGAGCGAGUUGAGGCUGAAGAGCAGGAACUCCCCUCCACGGAACGACAUCUGGUCAGUCAGCAAGAUCAGCUGUCCUUUUAACCUCAAGUCAAGAGUUUCUGAGUUAACGAGGCAUAAUAACCCUCCAACGAAAUCUGGAUGCUCUAAGAGACAUUCAGUGAAGAGAAGAUAUUAAGACAACGCCGUUACAACUACUUUGUGUGUUUUUAACCUCUAUAGUUCUCUGAAUUGUAAAAAUGAAAUUUGAGUGUGUGUUAUUUCUUAUUAUACAAGCCCUGCCUUGCAUUGCAAUCCAAAAAAGAGUCUCAAAAGCAUACCAUGACUUGAGCAGGUAAAAAAAAAAAAAAAAAAGUGUUUAGUUGCAUUAUUAAGCAAAGAACAAAGGAGUGAAGAUUAGAGCUUUAAUAGAGAAUGGUUUUAUGGCUAUGGGCAAAGCAACGACCAUCAGGAGGGAAUCUGUCGCGGAAUUUUAGCUGGUUCUUUUGCUAUGCCCAUAGGUAUGAGAAAAUGGCCUAUCAUCCUUAGCUAUAGUUCAUAAAGUUCAUGGCUUCCUGUUCCUUUAAACCUUGUUUUUAAUGCUGCAAUUGCUUUUGCUUUUAGAGUUAAGUUAAUGCAGAAACUAUGUGACAACAUAGGCGUUGUCCACCCCGGCAGUCAGAGGGUGGAGGAUGCCUGCAAGGAAAGAUAACCAAGAAAAUAACAGAUAGAGAUGUUUUUCUGUAACUGUGAUAUCUUCUAGUCAACGAAGCACUCAUACUCUGUACAUGCCUAAAUGCUUAGCUUCUUAUUGGUUGUUGCAUUUUCAGAACUGUAUUAUGAUUGGUGAGAAAGUUCUGCCAUGGUAUCUAAGGGGAACUGACUCUAUAAAUAUGUUGACAUUUCCUGAAAUUAUUGGGCAGUUUCCUCAGACUGCCACCUUGCAGCGCUGCUCGUAAUAAACCUUCUAAGGAGAGAGAAA